UCAACCCCUACAUAGUAUUAAGUAUGUGGGAUUGCUUCUUCGUUUGUUGGUGGAAUCAUAGAAAAUAUAUCAUAUCGACUCAUUGCGAUAUGCGGAAUGCAAUAUUACGUAUGAAUACGUAAGAAAAUAAAUACAGUAUUUUCUUAUCGUACUCUUAUCGUACCUUCUCACCGCGCGUAACGCAAUCUCCCCGCAAUUCCAAACGAAGCCUAAAUCAAAUAUAUUUUUCAAAAUUUCUAAAUUGACUUUAAGAACUCUUAAACCUUUUAAUUUAAAAGUUAAAAACUUA
rnacentral:lncRNA from 1 species